UACGGAGGGUGCUAGCGUUGUUCGGAAUUACUGGGCGUAAAGGGCGCGUAGGCGGCCGUUUGCGUCGGAUGUGAAAGCCCGGGGCUCAACCUCGGAACGGCAUUCGAUACGGGACGGCUGGAGACCGGGAGAGGAGAGUGGAAUAGCCAGUGUAGAGGUGAAAUUCGUAGAUAUGGGGAGGAACACCGGUGGCGAAGGCGGCCACCUGGACGGUAACUGACGCUGAGACGCGAAAGCGUGGGGAGCAAACAGG
rnacentral:rRNA from 1 species